rnacentral:lncRNA from 1 species
UCCUGAGCCGUUCUGCACCACAGUAGACGAGAGCUACAGAGACAGCUUGGGUCUCAUAGGAGAGCUUUGUCUUUGUGGAGUGUGAAAUAAAGGAUAAUUGCCUACCUCUAGCAAGUGGAUCUUAUUAUGUUGAUGAUUAGUUAUGUCUCCUUAUUUUAAUCUCCGAUUAGGACAGGUUGCCUAUGUUACAUAACAAAGCUCACUCUUUUCACGCUUGGUAAUUUCAAGGGAAAAUAAGGCCAUUGUUAUAAGAUAAUGAUUUUAAAGAGAGUUAUGAGUGGGAGAGGAGAAAAGUGUGUGAUUAUAACAUUUGUAUACAGUGUUUUCCAAAGUAUGACUCUGGCUGAUUUGCUGUUAGAAAAUUAACUUCGUUUGUGCCUGAUGAUCAGCACCUGCUUCCAUGCUGACCAUUUUUUUUGGCUUGGGACUGUUAAAUACUUCCCCAGUGCUGCUUAUUAGAUUGCCACCAAAGCAAGUCAUUUCUAGUAAAUUUGGUGUUUGGGAUUUGCAAAGAGAAUAGGAAAAAAAAAAAAAAAAAAAGAAUGGAGUUCUAGGAAGGGACUUCUAGAUGGUCCCAAGUGAUCCAAUGUGAUCACAGUCUCAGGAUGGAUUGCUUGUAUCAAGUAUCAUCUAACUGUAGGAAUAGCCAGAGUUGAGGCAUGAUAAUGUCUCAGCGCUUUGGGACUUCCCACCUGGCCUGUGGGUUUUUUUAUGAUCUUAUAGAUCUUAGUCAUUUUGAACCUAGUAUUUUUAUAACGUAUUUUUCUUUUAACCGAGAAGAUUAGCACACUGAGUUUGGGGAAAUGUUCUGAUUUCUUUCAAGAGUGUAAAACUAAUACAUUUCUCUCCUAGAAAAUACACCUGUGUUGGUAUUAAUGCCCAACCAUCACCUAAGUGGCGCUCAUAGCCAAGUGCAAGUCCAAGUUGACUUUACAUUCAUUAAUUAGCAGCUGUGCAACUCUGGAUGUGUGGGUUUUAAGAAUGCUAUCUUAAAACUGAAAGGUUUGACAAUAGGUUGGGGAGUCUUCAGCUUGCCUGAUUUAUAGUCAUUCUUGGAGCUUUCAGGAAAACUAUGUAGAAAGGAAAAAGAAAGGCUUCGGGGAUUUCAUUUGGUAAUCAGUUACAUUGUGAACAACGAGUGCCAUUUUCUCUUGAUACUGUAAUUCAGCCAAAACUUUUGCUAAUUAUUCACAAGCUCCCUGUUCAUUCUUGUUUACAAAGUGUCUGUCUUUUACGACAGCUGGAGUUUAGCAAGAAUUCAGAUUAAAACCUCAUCCAACAUAAUAAAUUGCCUUUGAAAAAAUGCUUUCGUUUCAGUUCCUAGUCCUUGGUUAGAACAAAGAGCUAAAAUACAAAAGCAUUCGGUGGAAUGAAACCCUUGAGAUUUGUGAUUAAUUAUUUAUAAUGAAUUCAUAAGAUUAAUAAAUGCAUGCUCUGUUUCUUUAAUGCCUCUUAUCUACAUUAGUAAGGGGCUGAUAAUUUGCAGUUUGGAUUGCUUUUAUAUAAAUAUGACUGUGAAAUAUAAGAUGUACGUUGACACUAGAAUCAAAGUAAUAAUUAAACCUCUAUAAUUAUUUUAUAUUUUAAGGGACCAGAUUUGUUCAAUGGAUUCUUUUGUUUACUUUUAACAUAUUACUAGAACAUAAAAAAAAUCAUAAU